GAACGAAAAAGUGAAAGCAUGUGAUAUGAAACAAAUAAUGGGUUUUAAUAAAAAAAAAAAAAACAGUUUCUACCAUUGCAAAUUUAAACAAUUAUGAAAUAAUCACCGAUUUGUUAGUGCAAAUGCAUGCAAAUGAAAAAUUAUAUUGCUGGAGCAGGCAAAGAUGCCCGGUGAAAAUAUUUUUAUACAUGGCAAAUUUGGAAGGAAUUUAAUAUGCGUCAACUGCAGCGAUAUUGCAGAAACUGGUUAUCAUCACUAUUGCUAGGAAGACAACAUACAGCAUUAGAUUGGCUCGUCCUGACAUUUUGGGAACAAGAUACGAAUUAACACAAAAAAUAAUUGGUGAAUGGUUGACUACUCUAAUAACUGCAACUUGAAGUAGCUGAACACAGCAAUUAAAAUUCUAAAAUUUUAUAUCAAUAAAUAUAUAAGUUAUGGCUUUUAUGUGUGUUUUUAAGUAACCCUAAAAUCGAAAUGAACUAAGAUACAUUUAGUUUAGCAUUUUAUAAAAUAUUUCCAUAAGUAUGAACACUUAAUAAUGGACGAAAAACUACUCAAUUGAGAGAGCUUAAAUGAAACAUCAAUAAUAAUACUAAUAAUAAAUUACACGAAAAACAAAAGAUUUAAAAGAAGACAACAAAUCACUUGAUUAAUGUAUGAGUACUCGAAAUACGUUAUGCAACCUAAAGGAGCUUAACGCAAUAAUUAUAUUUUUAAAAUCAAUAAAAAUAUAUAUGUUGUUUUUAA
rnacentral:sRNA from 1 species